CAAUAUUGUGAGAGUAUUUUGUUGACUUAUGUGCUGCAAGGAAUUAUCUUCUACAAAAGGGAAGAAAUCUUAAUAUGGUUCUUUCUAGUGAUGCCUUAUCUGAUCUUUUCAGGUUAUUGCAAACAGAGCAGCUGAAAUUCUUGGCCAUAAGCGGGGCGAAAAGCAUGUGCACCCAAACGACCAUGUGAACAGAUCACAAUCAUCAAAUGACACAUUUCCUACUGUGAUGCACAUUGCUGCUGCUAUGGAGAUAAAUAAAAGAUUAGUACCAAACUUAAAACAGUUGCAUACUUCACUACACUCGAAGAAAAUGAUUAAGGCAGAAGCUGUUCUUACUGAUUGCAUCUUCACUUGAGCAGCUUGCACAAGGAGGCACAGCAGUUGGAACAGGAUUGAACACAAAAAAGGGGAAAGAUAUCAAGAAAUAUUACGGGAAAAAUCACAGUCUCAGUCUGAUAUUGAUCAAUGUGAAGCAUAUUACGAAGCUGCUGGGGGAACAAGGAAGAGAAGAAUAUAUGGUCUUGGAUCUCAAGCACAAAGUUAUCUGCUUUUUGUUGGAAAGAACAAAAUUAUGCACUAACAAUACUUGAUGGAUGUGUGGGUUCUUUUGGUAGUUGAUAGCUUGGUGUUGUCGGUGUUUUGGACUUAACGAUUAGGAUUUCGCUAUCUAUUUGGAAUCUUUUUUAUAAAUAUUAUUUUAUGUGAAUGUCAGUUAUUUUUAAGGGUAUU